rnacentral:rRNA from 1 species
GACGAACGCUGGCGGCGUGCUUAACACAUGCAAGUCGAACGGAAAGGCCCUGCUUUUGUGGGGUGCUCGAGUGGCGAACGGGUGAGUAACGCGUGAGUAACCUGCCCUUGACUUUGGGAUAACUUCAGGAAACUGGGGCUAAUACCGGAUAGGAGCUCCUGCUGCAGGGUGGGGGUUGGAAAGUUUCGGCGGUUGGGGAUGGACUCGCGGCUUAUCAGCUUGUUGGUGGGGUAGUGGCUUACCAAGGCUUUGACGGGUAGCCGGCCUGAGAGGGUGACCGGCCACAUUGGGACUGAGAUACGGCCCAGACUCCUACGGGAGGCAGCAGUGGGGAAUAUUGCACAAUGGGCGGAAGCCUGAUGCAGCAACGCCGCGUGCGGGAUGACGGCCUUCGGGUUGUAAACCGCUUUCGCCUGUGACGAAGCGUGAGUGACGGUAAUGGGUAAAGAAGCACCGGCUAACUACGUG